UAAGAUGAGAAACCUAACUUGUAGCAAUUCACAUGGGCCAUGCCACAUAGUCCUUGGCCAAUGUCUACCAUAGAAGCUGGCUUGGGUGGCCAUGUCCAUUGUUCUUCCAGGGGCUAUAGUGGCGGAUAUGAUAGAUUCCCCUCCUCGAUGUUGGUCAUACUCCGAGGACGACAAAUCCUCCAAAUAAGAUCCUAGUCUUCCUUUUUCUCUCUCUUGGGGCAGCUUUGAUGGUUGGGUCAGCAUGAUUACAGAUUAUACUAUCUUUGAUGUGCUUGGGCAUAAUAAUCCUCAAUUCAAGAUCUAGCAGUUGGAUUUCAUGAGUAGGUAGUUUGUGAAAAACGCUUAUCAUUUUGAUUUGAACAACUUUGAGUUGUUAAGUAAACGCUGCCCCAUCAAGCAUUUUGUGGAAUAAAAUUCUGAAUGAUUCAUAA